rnacentral:rRNA from 1 species
UACGGAGGGUGCUAACGUUGUUCGGAAUUACUGGGCAUAAAGCGCACGUAGGCGGUCUGCUAAGUCGGUUGUGAAAGCCCCCGGCUCAACCGGGGAAUUGCGUUCGAUACUGGCAGGCUAGAGGACGGUUGGGGUGAGUGGAACUCCAGGUGGAGCGGUGAAAUGCGUAGAUAUCUGGAGGAACACCGGUGGCGAAAGCGACUUUCUGGCCUGUUCUUGACGCUGAGGCGCGAAAGCUAGGGGAGCAAACGGG